rnacentral:RNase_P_RNA from 2 species
UGAGUAAAUCGGAUGGUCGCGUGUAUAUUUUAUAUGCAUGAGGAAAGUCCGGGCUCCACAGGGCAGGGUGCCGGGUAAUACCCGGUGAAGGCGACUUCAAGGAAAGUGCAACAGAGAUAUACCGCCAUAUUUUAUAUGGUAAGGGUGGAAAGGUGAGGUAAGAGCUCACCAGCGAUUAGGCGACUAAUCGGCUAUGUAAACCCCAUCUGGAGCAAGAUCAAAUAGGGAAGCAUUUGGGGUGGCCCGCCUCGCUUCCGGGUAAGAUCGCUAGAGUCUGUUGGUAACAGCAGAUCGAGAUAGAUGACCGUCUAAGACAGAACCCGGCUUAUAGAUUUACUCGUUUA